GACGAACGCUGGCGGCGUGCUUAACACAUGCAAGUCGAACGGAAAGGCCCUUUUUUUGUUGGGUGCUCGAGUGGCGAACGGGUGAGUAACACGUGAGUAACCUGCCCUUGACUUUGGGAUAACUUCAGGAAACUGGGGCUAAUACCGGAUAGGAGCUCCUGCUGCAUGGUGGUGGUUGGAAAGUUUCGGUGGUGUGGGAUGGACUCGCGGCUUAUCAGCUUGUUGGUGGGGUAGUGGCUUACCAGGGGGUUGACGGGUGGCCGGCCGGGGUGGGGGACCGGCAAAAUUGGGCUUGGGAAAGGGCCCGGACUCCUACGGGGGGAAGAGGGGGGGAAUAUUGCAAAAUGGGGGGAGGCCUGAUGCGGCAACGCGGCGUGCGGGAUAACGGCCUUGGGGUGGUAAACCGCUUUCGCAUGUGACGAAGCGUGAGUGACGGUACUGGGUAAAGAAGCACCGGCUAACUACGUG
rnacentral:rRNA from 1 species